CCAGAGUUGACACAAGUCACAUGCAAUCAAGUCUGUAUCCCUGGUGGACAGGCACUGUCCUAAUGUUCUCUGACUCACACCCAGGUUGUUUGCAGCUCAGCAGUUCUGCUUCCAGACACAUCACUUUGUGUUCUGAUGCUAACAUCUUGCUGAGAAAUUGCCUCUUGGCACGCUGUUUCUUGAAUCCUGUACCUUGCUUGAUUUGAUGUGAAGAUGAUGCUCUUUUUAGCACUUGCAACAUGUCACCUUUGAGAAGGGAAGUGCUGAGUCUUUGAAGCCUUCUUACCAUCACCCAAGUGGGACAGGUGUGCACCCCAAUCUCAAAUCAUCCCAGGCCAUUUGUGCUCUGAAUGCUGUAACUACCAAAUGACAGCGAGGCGUUACAGACUUCUCAGUCACUUCAGUGUCCACCCGAACAGCUCUUGCAAUGGAUGGUAGGUAACUUAGGAAAUGAUUCUCAUUUCUGGGAUUACCGCAGAGCCAAGAACAGAACUAACUUGAGCCACACACCUUGCUUCUAAGAGCCUUUAGAAGAGACUAAAAUGAGCAGCACUUCCAUUGUAACGGAAACAAAACAUGGCCCUGAAGGACCGAGAUCAGCAUGAACCACUGGACUUAGGAGGCUUGUGAUGGAGGUUCACCUGGAGGCUUUUAUUCUUCACUCUGUGGCUGAGCAUUGCAAGAUUGGAGAGUGAAUCCACUGUGAGAACCUGAUGUGCACUUCCUUCUGUUGCCUACCAUGGUGCCCCAACUCAGGGUUUUAUUCUACUUCUG
ensembl:lncRNA